AUGGACCCUGCCCAUGUCCCCUACGCGCACAAGGGGCUGAUGGGCAAGCUUCUCAAGAAGGAAAACCUCGGCAGAUUUGAGUUCGACAUCGAAGGCGGCGGGCCGAUAAAGAUGAAGACGAAGGUGGCGAACGUGGACGGGUUCCUGACGGAGCAGCAGGAGAACCGCGGCUACUUCCGGUACGCCGCGCCGUGCACCUUCUACGGCUCGCCGCUUCCCAGAGAGGUCGCACGGUUCGCCGUGAAGAAGAAGCCCCAGUUCAUGAUGGUGUUCAUGUGCGUCCCAGUGGCGCCGGGGAAGAGCAGGGUGAUCUGGGCCUUCCCGAGGAACGUCGGCCUGUGGCUCGACAAGGUCAUACCGCGGUGGUACUACCACAUGGGCCCGAACGCCCUCUUGGACUCGGACACGUACCUCCUCCACGUCGAGGAGCGCAACUUCGCGGCGGCCGGCGCCGAGAACUGGCACAAAGCCGUGUACGUGCCCACGUCGUCAGACAACAUGGUGAUCGCUUUCAGAAACUGGUUCAGAAAGCACUGCAAGAGCCAGGUCGGCUGGGCCGUCCCCACAGCCGAUCAGCUGCCGGCGACUCCAACCAAAGACAAGCUCAUGGAAAGGUACUGGUCGCACGUCGCGCAGUGCAGGAGCUGCAGCGCGGCGUUGAAGGCCAUGAAGGCGCUGGAGGUCGCCCUGCAGUUCGCGUCGGUUGCGGUCGUCGGCUUCCUCGCCGUCGCCAAGGGGACGCUGGUAACAUCAGUCGUGCAGAGAGCUGUUGUUGUGUCCUUGGCCGUGCUGUGCUUCGCCGCGUCCCGUUGGCUCGCGAGCUUCAUCGAGAAGAACUUCUAUUUCCAUGAUUACGUUCAUGCUUACAAGUGA
rnacentral:rRNA from 1 species